rnacentral:rRNA from 1 species
AGAGUUUGAUCAUGGCUCAGGACGAACGCUGGCGGCGUGCUUAACACAUGCAAGUCGAGCGAUGAAAUCCCUUCGGGGAUGGAUUAGCGGCGGACGGGUGAGUAACACGUGGGUAACCUGCCUCAUAGAGGGGAAUAGCCUUCCGAAAGGAAGAUUAAUACCGCAUAAGAUUGUAGUACCGCAUGGUACAGCAAUUAAAGGAGCAAUCCGCUAUGAGAUGGACCCGCGUCGCAUUAGCUAGUUGGUGAGGUAACGGCUCACCAAGGCGACGAUGCGUAGCCGACCUGAGAGGGUGAUCGGCCACAUUAGGACUGAGACACGGCCCAGACUCCUACGGGAGGCAGCAGUGGGGAAUAUUGCACAAUGGGGGAAACCCUGAUGCAGCAACGCCGCGUGAGUGAUGACGGUCUUCGGAUUGUAAAGCUCUGUCUUCAGGGACGAUAAUGACGGUACCUGAGGAGGAAGCCACGGCUAACUACGUGCCAGCAGCCGCGGUAAUACGUAGGUGGCAAGCGUUGUCCGGAUUUACUGGGCGUAAAGGGAGCGUAGGUGGAUAUUUAAGUGGGAUGUGAAAUACUCGGGCUUAACCUGGGUGCUGCAUUCCAAACUGGAUAUCUAGAGUGCAGGAGAGGAAAGUAGAAUUCCUAGUGUAGCGGUGAAAUGCGUAGAGAUUAGGAAGAAUACCAGUGGCGAAGGCGACUUUCUGGACUGUAACUGACACUGAGGCUCGAAAGCGUGGGGAGCAAACAGGAUUAGAUACCCUGGUGGUCCACGCCGUAAACGAUGAAUACUAGGUGUAGGGGUUGUCAUGACCUCUGUGCCGCCGCUAACGCAUUAAGUAUUCCGCCUGGGGAGUACGGUCGCAAGAUUAAAACUCAAAGGAAUUGACGG